rnacentral:rRNA from 1 species
UGCCAGCAGCCGCGGUAAUACGGGGGGGGCGAGCGUUAUUCGGAAUUAUUGGGCGUAAAGGGCACGUAGGCGGCCUGUCAAGUCAAAGGUGAAAUCCCUCGGCUCAACCGAGGAACUGCCCUUGAUACUGUCAGGCUUGAGGCCGGGAGGGGGUGGCGGAAUUCCCAGUGUAGCGGUGAAAUGCGUAGAUAUUGGGAGGAACACCAGUGGCGAAGGCGGCCACCUGGACGGUGACUGACGCUCAGACCCGAAAGCGUGGGGAGCAAACAGGAUUAGAUA